rnacentral:rRNA from 1 species
UACGUAGGUCCCGAGCGUUGUCCGGAUUUAUUGGGCGUAAAGCGAGCGCAGGUGGUUUAUUAAGUCUGGUGUAAAAGGCAGUGGCUCAACCAUUGUAUGCAUUGGAAACUGGUAGACUUGAGUGCAGGAGAGGAGAGUGGAAUUCCAUGUGUAGCGGUGAGAUGCGUAGAGAUUAGGAAGAACACCAGUGGCGAAGGCGAUUCUCUGGACUGUAACUGACGCUGAGGCUCGAAAGCGUGGGGAGCAAACAGG